rnacentral:rRNA from 1 species
CCGGAAUUAUUGGGCGUAAAGAGUGAGCAGGCGGCAGUUUAAGUCUGGAGUGAAAGCGUGAGGCUCAACCUCAUACAGCUUCAGAAACUGAACAGCUAGAGUACGGGAGAAGUAAGUGGAACUCCAUGUGUAGCGGUGAAAUGCGUAGAUAUAUGGAAGAACACCAGUGGCGAAGGCGACUUACUAGCCCGAGACUGACGCUCAGUCACGAAAGCGUGGGUAGCAAAUAGGAUUAGAUACCCUAGUAGUCCACGCUGUAAACGAUGAAAACUAAGUAUUGCCGCGAGGCAGUGCUGUAGCUAACGCAUUAAGUUUUCCGCCUGGGGAGUACGCUCGCAAGAGUGAAACUUAAAGGAAUUGACGGGGGCCCGCACAAGCAGUGGAGCAUGUGGUUUAAUUCGACGCUACGCGAAGAACCUUACCAGGACUUGACAUGGAAUUUAAAACUUUAGAAAUAGAGCCAUAUACAAGUUCACACAGGUGGUGCAUGGUUGUCGUCAGCUCGUGUCGUGAGAUGUUGGGUUAAGUCCCGCAACGAGCGCAACCCUUGUGAUCAGUUACUAACGCGCAAUGGCGAGGACUCUGAUCAGACCGCCGGGGAUAACUCGGAGGAAGGUGGGGACGACGUCAAAUCAUCAUGCCCCUUAUAACCUGGGCUACACACGUGCUACAAUGGCUACGGACAAAGAGAAGCGAAGCCGCAAGGCGGAGCGAAUCUCAUAAAAGUAGUCUCAGUUCGGAUUGUGGGCUGCAACCCGCCCACAUGAAGUCAGAGUUGCUAGUAAUCGCGAAUCAGC